UCGAUCUCAUAUUCUCUGUUGGUAUUCUCCUCCGUCGAGAUCUAAUCAAGCCUUCGUCUAGAUUCAUGGAUUCAUCGUUGCUUCCGAUGAGACGACGACGCGACGAGAUUGAGUGAUGACGACGGUGAUGCGACGACGACGAAGACGCAAUCGAGCAAUGACAACGAGAAUGAGAUUGGACAACGGCGGAAGUGAGGUCCUCGAAUCGUUACGAGAACGGCGACGGUAUUCACAGGACCAGUGAUGAAUUGGAAGAAGAAGUGGGGUCACGUCUCUCCUUCCUCCAAGAAGAAAAACACCUCCUCCUCUGUUGUUAACGGUGGUGGUUCGGCUUCCGAGGGAUCGCAUUUGUUGUUCUUUAAGUGGGCACCGUUGUCUCAGGGCGGCAACAGUGGUAACGAAGAUGGUAAAAGCGAGAUUAAUUCUCCUAGCGAUGAGCCUGUGACGGAGACGACGGCAAGGCAGAAGAACCUCCCUGGCGGAGAUUCAAAUACGUGCCGGUUAGUCUUUUUCUUUUAAAAUGGCAGAACUUAUGUUUCGUAAGAUGUUUGGAAAACUCUGGAAGGUACUUUCACAUUAUCAGGAAGACUUGACUGUGUUGAUCUUCUUAUAAAGUCUGUAACCAUCCAUUGCAAAAGCAAUAAUCAGUUUGAGAGAAGCAGAGACUUCUGUCCAUCAGCUCCUGAAGCUGAUCACCACACCAUCUCAUGAAAGAGUAUACACAAAAACCUAACGAGCAAGUCUCUGAAGAGGGAUCAAUCAGAAGAUGCAGGGCAACAGUUAUCAUCACAUGCUUAAAUACCUUGUUUGGCUUCAUCAACGCCUAUCUGUCUUUCCUUUACCUCUCUUCCUGAGAACAAGUGCUUAGGUCGCAGAGUUGGUAUAACUCUAUCAGCUUCACCACAUCGUGCAUUCUUGUCUCUCUUUUUGUGUAAGAGCUUAUAAAACCUUGUCUCAACCAUCUAUAAGGUUUAUAAAACACAUAUAAAUAUUUUGUAAGAGCUU